CCUACGGGGGGCAGCAGUGAGGAAUAUUGGUCAAUGGCCGCAGGGCUGAACCAGCCAAGUCGCGUGAGGGAUGACGGUCCUAUGGAUUGUAAACCUCUUUUGUCAGGGAGCAAAGGGCGCCACGUGUGGCGUUUUGCGAGUACCUGAAGAAAAAGCAUCGGCUAACUCCGUGCCAGCAGCCGCGGUAAUACGGAGGAUGCGAGCGUUAUCCGGAUUUAUUGGGUUUAAAGGGUGCGCAGGCGGAAUGUCAAGUCAGCGGUAAAAUUUCGGGGCUCAACCCCGUCGUGCCGUUGAAACUGGCGUUCUUGAGUGAGCGAGAAGUAUGCGGAAUGCGUGGUGUAGCGGUGAAAUGCAUAGAUAUCACGCAGAACUCCGAUUGCGAAGGCAGCAUACCGGCGCUCAACUGACGCUCAUGCACGAAAGCGUGGGUAUCGAACAGGAUUAGAUACCCCGGUAGUC
rnacentral:rRNA from 1 species